GACGAACGCUGGCGGCGUGCUUAACACAUGCAAGUCGAACGGAAAGGCCCUGCUUUUGUGGGGUGCUCGAGUGGCGAACGGGUGAGUAACACGUGAGUAACCUGCCCUUGACUUUGGGAUAACUUCAGGAAACUGGGGCUAAUACCGGAUAGGAGCUCCUGCUGCAUGGUGGGGGUUGGAAAGUUUCGGCGGUUGGGGAUGGACUCGCGGCUUAUCAGCUUGUUGGUGGGGUAGUGGCUUACCAAGGCUUUGACGGGUAGCCGGCCUGAGAGGGUGACCGGCCACAUUGGGACUGAGAUACGGACCAGACUCCUACGGGAGGCAGCAGUGGGGAAUAUUGCACAAUGGGCGGAAGCCUGAUGCAGCAACGCCGCGUGCGGGAUGACGGCCUUCGGGUUGUAAACCGCUUUCGCCUGUGACGAAGCGUGAGUGACGGUAAUGGGUAAAGAAGCACCGGCUAACUACGUA
rnacentral:rRNA from 1 species